ensembl:lncRNA
AAGUCUAGUAGUAUCUCAAUAAUUUUACUUAGAGUUUGCAAACAUUUCUUCAAAUCAAUAGAAGGAUGGUGUGAUUUAUCUUACUAUAAAAAAGAUUACUAUAUCAGAGAAAGUACAUCAUAACAUGGUCAUUUUUUUCUAUGGGUUUUUAAGAAGACCUCAUAUUGCCUGCUCAGAUGUAGAUUUCUAAAUUGUAGAUAUCUGGAACUAGCCAGUGAAGAUAGAUCACAUAUCAAGGCUCUGUCUUUUAAUGCCAUUACUAUUUGACUCAAGUAAUUAGACAGUUGACAAAAAACAGUUGUGGAAAGAUAAAGGUCAAAAUCCCACCUAGCUGCUUGUUCACUCACUCUCUUUAGUGGGGCAGGAGGAGAGAAUAGGAUGAGAAAGCUAAUGGAUUGAGAUAAAGCUUGACAGACUCAGUUUAAUUUAUUGCCAGGUAAUACAGGUUUGAAUAGUGUGAAAGAAAGACAAACAUCAAACCCCCAUCUUUCUUCCCCCCUCUCCCAGACACUUCACUCUGGUACUGCCAAAUCCUCUCCCCACCUCAAGCAGCACAGGAAUGAACAGGGAGCAGUAUGAUAGAAACACAAGUCUCACUCUUCUGCUAUUCUGCUCUGGUGCAAGCUCUUCCCAUUGGGUGAUCUUCUUCAGGAGAAAAAUCUGCAACCAUGUCAGGUCUCCAUAGGUAAUCUGUUUUGGGAGAUAUCUAACUGCUCCUGCGUGCUGUUGUUUUGUGCAAUUACUCCACAGGCUGCAGUGAUUAUCUCCUCCAUGUGCCCUUCCAAGGAAAUAUCAGCUCUAACUGUCUCCUUUACAGGGUAAAUUGGAUGUCCCCUCCCUCAGAGAUUUCACCAAAGACUGCAGCUCCCACUCUUUAUUUUCUGAGAUUGGUGUUCACAGAACAGUUUCUUGCUUUUGUGUUCCCUCCCCUUCUGUCUGUGUGGAAUUUUCUGAUCCUUUUUGAAAGUGCUUUCCCUGAGAUGCCACGGUCUUGGUUGAAAGGCUCAGCUGUGCCCUGCGGUGGCUCAGCUGGGGUCAGCUGGAACUGGCUCUCUCUGUCACAGACCAGAGACCAUCCUCCUACCUCUGACAGCCUCGACACACAUGCAAACCCAGCACAGUAGUGUUUCUAAUUCAGCUCAUAAUAACCUUCACAUCAAAUGAACAUGGAACAAUAGUUCUGGUAUCUUAUGGAAUGCCAAAUUUGUAGGUCACAUAGCAAUAUUUGAGUAAUACUAAACUUAUAUCAAAGUGUGUCCCAAAUUUUACAAAAGGCAAUAAAAAUCUGGGACUGUACAGUGUUAACUAUCUACUUUUGUUUCUCAAUAAAGGCUCACCUCUUAAGUUUUGUGGCUGUUUUGUAAAACACAUACACUUCCAGAAAAGUAGAUCUGCUUAAAGAGGCUUAUAGAAAGUUAAUUAUAUCAGCAGUCUAGGACUUCACAUUCAGAGAAGCAAUCAGGCAUCAAAUUGUUGAAUGGUUUUCAAAUAAAUGACAAGUAAAAAUGACAUUGGUAUGAUGGAAAGUCUUAAGGAAAUUUCAUUAGCUACCUCCGGUGAUGGUCCAAGGUGAGAUGAGAUGCACAGAGCAGUGGGGCUGAAGAUAAAGCAGGACACCCUAUAGUGAAUUAAUAUUAAAAUCUCAGAGUAUGGCACACUGCCAGUUUCUCUGAGAGAUUUAGUUAAUCUAAUUAGAAGACAGAAGAGGACAAAUUCUGUGUCUGACUGUCAACACUGAAAUAAGAAGGAAUACUGAGUAGUGAAGUGGCUGUAAACAGAUACACUCAACACAAAAAUGCUAACCAAAUAGCACAUACUAUUUACUACUCUACCAGUACUAAAACUGGCUUUAUUUUUUUUAUAGUAAUUCACCAUAACUCAGUCAAUCCUCUUAAAGUUUUUGCAAUGGACAUAAUGAAAAUAUAUUUUGCAUAAAAUAUACAAAGCAAAAAUGAGACAAAACAGGCAGAUGAGACAAAGAAAAGCUGAUCAUAAAUGCUUCUAAAAAAACUCAGUGAUGUUUUUUAAUACAUUUGUUUCAAAUGUUUGGGAUUUUAGUUCUCUGAUAUGA